AAAAAAAAUAGUUUCAGAUUUUCUUCCCACACAAUUCUCAGUGGGAGAUGGAGAGCAAACAGACUUUUAUCCUUCAGCAAACCCCUCCGUUCACCAGAGACAUACCAUAAGAAUACAAUUAAACUAAAAGCCUCUGAAAAGUAAUGAAAGCAGACGCUUUUACGCUCUCUGGGGCCUCAUGUCUGUUUCAUGCUCGCUCCCUCUCACACACAUUUUACACAUUGCUAUUUAUUUUCAUACCUUUUAUUACCCAAACCUUUCAUUUGAUCUCUUCAACAUUUACCUCCUUACUUCAUCCUACACACACAUAAACAAAUAUAUCGUUCACCCUGCAUGAAUGCUCCAGUCUGAUUUCUGUUCCACGCUCACCGUAAGCUUGUUUUUUGGGGUUUAAUGGCUGUGCAAAAUAAUAUAUGGGUUUGUGUGUGUGUGGGGUGAGGCUGAUGCAGACAUGCGUAUUAAGUGUGUAUUAACUCUGCCAUUGAACCCGAUGCGCAUCUCCCCAGUGGCUGCCACACUGGCUGGCACUGAAUGCAGUCAGGAGAUGAGAUUCAAGUCUAAUGAAGCAAAACGCAUAAUGCUGCCGAGGAAAGAUGGAUAGAUGGGAUUUGGAAUGAGGGAGGGAGGUAUUGUUAUCGCCUCUGUCCAUGGUUUGUGUUUUUUUGAGCUUGUCUGUCACAAAUGUGCAUGGGAGUUUUACAACUAAAGGUUCAUAUUUUUGUAUUUUUUUUUGCAUGUUUGCCUGUAGGUCAUUGUUGACAAGGUCAGGGUUGUUAAAGUUCACUAAAAGCAUAAAACAGGCUUAGAUUUUAGAAAUAUAUAAAUAUGUAUGUGCAUAUGUUAUGCAUGCAAAGACACGUGCGUAUGGAUUUGUUUGACAUUAGGAUACACGUUCCUUAAAAUUCACUUAUAAUCUGUUACACUCUGCCUCAUUUACAAAAUUUGUAGUCAAAUGCUCCGAACAAACAUACAGUCCUCGGAAGAGAUUGUUCCUUGUUCCUGACACAAGGAUCCUUCUGAAGUCUGUACAGAUUCACAGAUGAGCCGUUUAAACCGGACUCAUCCAAGCAAAUGUAUUUUUUAUUUUAUUUUUUUUACUCUUCCGUUUGUCCUGUUCUCAGGAGACUCAAGCACAUGAACUACAAAACAUCAUCUGUAUACUGCUACCAAUAUAGGACGCGUCUCUGUUUAUUAUAAGUGCACUGCUCUCAUUUGUCAGCUGUUAAGCGUCUCAGCGGCAGUGGGCGGGGCCUACGGUGCAAUAAUUUGUAACUGUUUGUGAUUUUAUUUACUCCAUGUGACUUCACAAAACCCACAAUAUCCACACAAGUCAUUUUUGGAUCAUGAUUCAAUUAAUACUUUGUAAUGUUUUACUGAAAUGGUGUAUUAAUGUUACAAAGACCUCUUGCGUGUCAAAUGCGUUUCUCAUGCAAUGACGUCUUUAAGUUCUAAACGCUGUGGCCUCUGCUAAUAAUAAUGUAAGGCCAAACGACUUGGGGAAAGUGACAUGGAUGGAGCCUGUGGGUAGCAGAUAUGGUGAUGAGAUGAAAAGAAAAAAAUGAAGGGUUGAGAGAGUGUUAAAGCAUAUGUGUUUGAUUUAGUUAUCAUUGUAGUAUGUGUACUGUGGGGCUCGUUAGUAUGAUUGUGAUAAAAUCUCGCCGGACGUGGUACAGGCUGUCUCGCUGCUUUGAUUGCAGUUGUGCGUAUGUGUGAGGCUCGUUAGUAAUGAUGCAGGGGCUCAGUGAUUAAAAUCCCCCUCCAGACCUCCGGUGUCCCACAGAACCACAGCAAACGGACUGCAAGGUUUCAGUUCAACUGCCUUGCACCCCGCUAGGUUUUGAAACGACCACGUUUUCAUGCUCAAAUUCACCUGUGAGGCCCCAAAAAGACACGCCAAGACAUGAUUACUUUAUAAAUGCACUAAAAAAUACUAAUUUAUUUUCUUUUGGAGAAAUACUUGUACUUCUCAAGGACACAUUAAUUUAAGAAUGAUAGUAAAGAUCUUUGCAAAAAACCUUCAUAUGUACUAUACGACCAUUUCCACAAAAAUGUUAAGCUGCGUAACUGGUUUGGACUUUAUUAUUAUUAUUAUUAUUAUUAUUAUAAUUAUAAAUAAUAAUAAUUAUAAUAAUAAUAAACGUUUUGUAAACAGGAAAUCAGCCUAUUAGAAUGAUUUCUGAAAGAUUGAAGCAAUGAUACAAUUCGGCUUCAUCACAGGAAUAAUUUAUAUUUUAAAACAUUUUGAAUUGUAAUAUUUCACAAUUGAUGUUUAACAGUAUUUUGAUCGUUUUCGUGAGCAUUAAACACUUAAUCUCACAAAAAAAAACCUUAGUCACGCUAAACUACUGAAAGCUGAUGGACACAAGGAUUUAAGACAAACAUAAAUGUAAAAAAACUGUUGUCUAGAUAUGUAGCUCACUUGGCAUUUGAAUGUUUACAUGCACAUAAGAUGCCCCUAAAAUCAUUUUAAGCAGAAUAUAAAAAGUUCUCUUUGUAGUGCAUGUAUUGUUUGAUGCCCAAAAAUGCUCAUUAGAUUUUGAUGACUUUUUUUGUGUUAGAAUGACUGUUUGAUUCCCAAAAACAUUUAAGUAGACGACAUACUUGAUUGUGACACACAACCAAGCAUUCACAAUGUUCUCGGUCAAGGUCAAACUCAUAUACAUCUUGUGACCAAUCCUGAGCCACCCUUACACUCUUGACUAAUGCUGACUUCAUUCAUCACACACACUUUCUCUCUAUAAUGAGCCUCUAUCUGAACCACAGCUUGAAGGAUGGAGUAGGUACAUUUUGUUUAAUCUCUUUUGCUCCUUAUUUGCCUCAAUCUUUAACACAUUGGAAGCAUUUGGAGCAUCAGACUUAUUGAUUGCUUUUGUAACGACUGACCCAAAAAAUCAAAAAGAGCAGUUUCCUUGCCGUUUUUUUUCUUCAGUGUGUUUUGAAUGUAUUCAAUUGAAACUGUCUGUGUUGUUUUUCUUUUUGUAUUUUUCUUUAUCUGUCUUCCUUUUUUUGGGGACUUUGCAGUUGCCACUGAAUGACAGACCACAAAAUUUCUCUCCAGCUCUUUUUUUUUUUUAAGCAAUCUCUAAGUUUAUCAUUUCAACAUAUGAUUCAUCUCUCUUUUUUGACGGUUUUCUUAGUAAAAAAUGUGCCUUGACCUCAACCUCAACAUUUCUCCCUUGUCCUGCUUCCUUCCUCUCUCUUCUGAUUUCUGCAAGUCUGUCCACUUCUUUUCUUUCUGUACAUUUUCUGAGUCCAGUUCCUUGCGCUCUCUCUCUCUCUCUCUCUCUCUCUCUCUCUCUCUCUCUCUCUCUCUCUCUCUCUCUCUCUCUCUCUCUCUCUCUCUCUCUCUCUGGUAGGUCUAGGAGGUGUAAUUGGCUGUGCUGCUGUUGGGGUUUUGUAUUGAGAAGGGCUUUAAUCUUUAGUUUCACUCAAAAUGCAAAGUGAAGGCUGGAGGCAGUCAGGGAUUUCACUUGCCUGCCUGUGUGUGUGUGUGUGUGUGUGGGUCUGUCUCACAUUCUGCUCUAACAAACUGCACAAGGUCUGAGUGUAUUUUAAUACAUGCUCCUAACAAACUCUACAAGGUGUUUGUGUGGCGCACAGUCACCCCACUCCGUGUGUGUGUGUGUGUGUGUGCGCUCGACUAGUGUUGAAGCUAUUCUGUUAAGCCCUAACUACUACUCAUAUUUAACUACAGUCAAGCUGCACAAAAAUUAGACACAGUGACAAAAGUACAUUGAAGUUAUUUAUUUGUCCAGUAUAUUCAGAAUUAUUUCUGCUAACUAUCAAAUGAUGCAAGAUUGCAGUCGACAGCAUUUGAGCAGAAGAAACAUGAGCAAAAUGAAUGUGUGUGAAAAAUGUGUUAAUGUUAUGCAUCUGCGAAAACAAAUGACAAGAGGCAGAAUUGUAAUUUUUGGUAUGAACUAUAACUUUAAUACAUUGUUUUUUAAUUUUAUUUUAUUUUUUGAACAGGGUUUGCUACUGAAAAAUGUAGUUACAUUAGCGAGAAUGCUUCCCCAACAUUUUGUGCGUGUGUUUGAAAUUCUUGAAAUCGUGUCACAUGGGUCAUUUUUAGGAUCGAUUCUUCACAUAUCUGUAUGCAGUUGUUCAUUAAGUUGUCUGUGCAUGCGCAUAUCUCUUCACACUAGACAGAAAUCCAAAUGCCGUUUUCUAUGUUUGCUUGCUGCGUUUUGAAGACGAGCUGUUUAAUAUAUCCCUGCUCGACCGUCUUUUGAGCGCGUGUGUAUGCGUUCUUGUGUGUUAAGUCACUGAUUGACAGAUGAAUCCCACACAAGCUCAGUGCCAAAGGAAUUUCCAGACAGAAAGCGUCAUGGCAACUUGCAAUCGCUUGCGGCGACAUGUCUUUAGAUGGUCUGCAAAGGAGAGCGUGUGGAAAAGGACUGCAAAAGGGAGGAGGAGGAGAUGAAAGAGGAAGAACAGAGAAAUAAAUGAGGGAGAUCAACAGAAGGGUGGAAGAAAAGAGUCACAAAACCCAUUGUUUUUCACACACAUGGCAGAUGAAGUCCAGCAUCCUUUAGAAAAUGAAGCAGCUUCCAUCUGAAGGAUGACAACAAACAGAUUUAAUAAUUUAAACAAAGUUGGAGAACCAAACUCGUAAGAGAGGAUGGUCAGUGAAACAGGCACUUAACCUCCAGAAUGUUCAUGGUCAACCUCAGGAGGUCAAACUAAAUAUUCUAAGGGUUUUCUGCUUUGCAAGCAGUGGUGCAGUAUUUCCUUCAAAUGUGCUUAUAAAUAAAGUUAUGUAUUCGUCACAGCCGAUUGAUAACAUGCUCUACAUUGUGCAGGAAAAAUAAUUUCCCUUUCUAAGCCCCUCCCAAGUCUUUCUGUUAUGGAUUAUUUGUUUAAAAUUAAUCCUAAUUUGUUUUUUGGUUCUUCAGAGCUCAUCAUCAUUUCUAGUAUUUCUGUGGUUGGUUCUCAAUGCAGUUUUCUGCUGCAGUAACAUUUGCAAAUAAGACGUUAAGACAUAAUUGAAAUUUUUGUACUCUAUAAAGUAUGAAUAUUUUCUCAUUAUGAACUACUUUAUAUAUUUCUGUCCAAAACAAUAUUAUUAUUAUAAUGCUUCACAUUAAAUUUGUUAACUGUAUAAAUUAACUAAAAAUGAGAAAUACUUCUAAUGCAUUUAUUAGUGUAGGUUAAUUUCAACCUUUAUUGCAUGAUAAAUGAGGGUUAAAUCUGUCACACUUUAUUUUUAAGGUACGGUUCUUGCUAUUAACUGUUUCCCCGCCAGUGUUUUUUUUAAAUUGCUAGCCAUCGCCAGCAUUUCUGAUGAUUUUCACCUAAUUUGAAGUCUUUUCAUAAUAUUUUUCUGCUGUACAUGAAUGAACAUAUUAUAUAUCAAAAUAAAGAAUCAAGACUUUGCUU